rnacentral:rRNA from 1 species
UCAUUUAAAGAAAGCGUAAUAGCUCACUGGUCGAGUCGGCCUGCGCGGAAGAUGUAACGGGGCUAAACCAUGCACCGAAGCUGCGGCAGCGACACUGUGUGUUGUUGGGUAGGGGAGCGUUCUGUAAGCCUGCGAAGGUGUCCCGUGAGGGAUGCUGGAGGUAUCAGAAGUGCGAAUGCUGACAUAAGUAACGAUAAAGCGGGUGAAAAGCCCGCUCGCCGGAAGACCAAGGGUUCCUGUCCA